GACAGAGGGUGCAAACGUUGCUCGGAAUCACUGGGCGUAAAGGGCGUGUAGGCGGGCAGGUAAGUCUGGCGUGAAAUCCCUGGGCUCAACCCAGGAACUGCACUCGAAACUACUUGUCUUGAGUGUCGGAGAGGAAAGCGGAAUUCCUGGUGUAGAGGUGAAAUUCGUAGAUAUCAGGAGGAACACCAACGGCGAAGGCAGCUCUCUGGGACGUUACUGACGCUGAGACGCGAAAGCGUGGGGAGCAAACAGG
rnacentral:rRNA from 1 species